GAUGAACGCUGGCGGCGUGCCUAAUACAUGCAAGUCGAGCGAACGGACGAGAAGCUUGCUUCUCUGAUGUUAGCGGCGGACGGGUGAGUAACACGUGGAUAACCUACCUAUAAGACUGGGAUAACUUCGGGAAACCGGAGCUAAUACCGGAUAAUAUUUUGAACCGCAUUGUUCAACAGUGAAAGACGGUCUUGCUGUCACUUAUAGAUGGAUCCGCGCUGCAUUAGCUAGUUGGUAAGGUAACGGCUUACCAAGGCAACGAUGCAUAGCCGACCUGAGAGGGUGAUCGGCCACACUGGAACGGAGACACCGUCCAGACUCCUAAGGGAGGCAGCAGUAGGGAAUCCUCCGCAAUGGGCGGAAGCCUGACGGAGCAACGCCGCGUGAGGGAUGAAGGUCUUCGGAUCGUAAAACCCUGUUAUUAGGGAAGAACAUAUGUGUAAGUAACUGUGCACAUCUUGACGGGACCUAAUCAGAAAGCCACGGCUAACUACGUG
rnacentral:rRNA from 1 species